CCAGAGAACUUAGCAGAGAUGCUUUGGUGCCUUCGGGAACUCUGAGACAGGUGCUGCAUGGCUGUCGUCAGCUCGUGUUGUGGAAUGUUGGGUUAAGUCCCGCAACGAGCGCAACCCUUAUCCUUUGUUGCCAGCGGCUCGGCCGGGAACUCAAAGGAGACUGCCGGUGAUAAACCGGAGGAAGGUGGGGAUGACGUCAAGUCAUCAUGGCCCUUACGGCCAGGGCUACACACGUGCUACAAUGGCGCAUACAAAGAGAAGCGACCUCGCGAGAGCAAGCGGACCUCACAAAGUGCGUCGUAGUCCGGAUUGGAGUCUGCAACUCGACUCCAUGAAGUCGGAAUCGCUAGUAAUCGUAGAUCAGAAUGCUACGGUGAAUACGUUCCCGGGCCUUGUACACACCGCCCGUCACACCAUGGGAGUGGGUUGCAAAAGAAGUAGGUAGCUUAACCUUCGGGAGGGCGCUUACCACUUUGUGAUUCAUGACUGGGGUGAAGUCGUAACAAGGUAAGCGUAGCGAG
rnacentral:rRNA from 1 species